rnacentral:tmRNA from 2 species
GGGGACGAUUAUGGAUUCGACGGGCAUGUGAAGGGUAUGAACGGCAACCCGGGAUUCCGGUUAUCCCGUGAUUAGCCGGAAGCACGAAUAAGUGCCGAUUAUGAUUAUGCAAUGGCAGCCUAAUUGAGCUUGCCACGCUUUUCAGUCUCUAAUUCACCGGGGAUUGUCUAAGCGCCAAUUUUGGUGAAUUGUGAUAUGCUGAUGUCCAUGCUUCAUAUUACAAAAUUUAUGGACUGGCUUUUUAACAGGUACUCUGGUAAACCAGUUGAGAAGUAAGAAUUAAUUACCGGAUAUGGUUGUAGAUGUACAUAUUGAUCCAUGUUCGGACCCGGGUUCGACUCCCGGCGUCUCCACAA